GGAAAAUGGGUUACCGCCGAUAAACCGGACAGUCCCCCUUUUGUUUUCGGUGUGGGGGAAGACCAGGCGGAGUUACCGUUUUAUUCGUUGAGAUUGGUCAGACGUGAUGGUUCAAAUGAUGUCCCCUUUGUGCUUUCUCAGUCCACCACUUGUCUCAGAGCACCUCCCUCUGGAUCUAACAAACAUAAUAUAUGGGAGAGAUCCUAUGCAAUCAAUGAAGACUCUUAUAAAAGGUGCCUCAAAUGCAGGAAUAGGUAUUAAAGGUGCAGGUUUUAUGAC